GACGAACGCUGGCGGCGUGCUUAACACAUGCAAGUCGAACGGAAAGGCCCUGCUUGCAGGGUGCUCGAGUGGCGAACGGGUGAGUAACACGUGGGUGAUCUGCCCCUUACUUUGGGAUAAGCCUGGGAAACUGGGUCUAAUACUGGAUAGGACCAUGCCGUAGGUGGUGUGGUGGAAAGAUUAGUUUCGGUAAGGGAUGAGCUCGCGGCCUAUCAGCUUGUUGGUGGGGUAAUGGCCUACCAAGGCGUCGACGGGUAGCCGGCCUGAGAGGGUGGACGGCCACAUUGGGACUGAGAUACGGCCCAGACUCCUACGGGAGGCAGCAGUGGGGAAUAUUGCACAAUGGGCGCAAGCCUGAUGCAGCGACGCCGCGUGGGGGAUGACGGCCUCCGGGUUGUAAACUCCUUUCAGCCAUGACGAAGCCCUUGUGGUGACGGUAGUGGUAGAAGAAGCACCGGCUAACUACGUGCCAGCAGCCGCGGUAAUACGUAGGGUGCGAGCGUUGUCCGGAAUUACUGGGCGUAAAGAGCUCGUAGGUGGUCUGUCGCGUCAUUUGUGAAAGCCCGGGGCUUAACUCCGGGUUGGCAGGUGAUACGGGCAUGACUGGAGUACUGUAGGGGAGACUGGAAUUCCUGGUGUAGCGGUGAAAUGCGCAGAUAUCAGGAGGAACACCGGUGGCGAAGGCGGGUCUCUGGGCAGUAACUGACGCUGAGGAGCGAAAGCAUAGGUAGCGAACAGG
rnacentral:rRNA from 1 species